rnacentral:rRNA from 1 species
UUCCUCGAGUCGUUGAUUUCACACUGCCGAGAAAAGCCUCUAGCUAGAAUAACGGUGCCCGUACCGCAAACCGACACAGGUAGUCAAGAUGAGAAUUCUAAGGUGAGCGAGCGAACUCUCGUUAAGGAACUCGGCAAAAUGACCCCGUAACUUCGGGAGAAGGGGUGCUCUUUGAGGUUCACGCUUCGAAGAGCCGCAGUGAAUAGGCCCAAGCGACUGUUUAUCAAAAACACAGGUCUCUGCUAAACCGUAAGGUGACGUAUAGGGGCUGACGCCUGCCCGGUGCUGGAAGGUUAAGAGGAGUGGUUAGCGCAAGCGAAGCUACGAAUCGAAGCCCCAGUAAACGGCGGCCGUAACUAUAACGGUCCUAAGGUAGCGAAAUUCCUUGUCGGGUAAGUUCCGACCCGCACGAAAGGCGUAACGAUUUGGGCACUGUCUCAACGAGAGACUCGGUGAAAUCAUAGUACCGGUGAAGAUGCCGGUUACCCGCGACAGGACGGAAAGACCCCGUGGAGCUUUACUGUAGCCUGAUAUUGAAAUUCGGUACAGUUUGUACAGGAUAGGUAGGAGCCUUAGAAGCGUGAGCGCUAGCUUACGUGGAGGCAUUGGUGGGAUACUACCCUAAUUGUAUUGGAUUUCUAACCCGCAGCACUUAUCGUGCUGGGAGACAGUGUCAGGCGGGCAGUUUGACUGGGGCGGUCGCCUCCUAAAGAGUAACGGAGGCGCUCAAAGGUUCCCUCAGAAUGGUUGGAAAUCAUUCAUAGAGUGUAAAGGCAUAAGGGAGCUUGACUGCGAGACCUACAAGUCGAGCAGGGUCGAAAGACGGACUUAGUGAUCCGGUGGUU